GGUAUGGUGAUUUCUAAGUUUGAGUACGAUGUUAUCGACCUGGGCGACGAUUCUCAUAUUUUCAUAAGUCAUAAUGUUCGUAACUUGACAGUUGCGUGUAUAAAAUCCCAUAAGAACUGUCAAGUUACGAAUUGUUAACGAACGGCAUGAGAAUCUACUAU